rnacentral:rRNA from 1 species
GGAGUCUGGGCCGUGUCUCAGUCCCAAUGUGGCCGUUCAACCUCUCAGUCCGGCUACUGAUCGCAGGCUUGGUGGGCCGUUACCCCGCCAACAACCUAAUCAGACGCAUCCCCAUCCCAUAGCGGUGAACCUUUGGUAUUCUUCAGAUGUCAUCGAAAUACAACAUAGAGCAUUAAUCCGACUUUCGCCGGGCUAUUCUCUACUAUGGGGAAGGUUGGAUACGCGUUACUCACCCGUGCGCCGGUCGCCAUCAAAGUCAGCAAGCUGACUCCAUGCUGCCCCUCGACUUGCAUGUGUUAAGCCUGUAGCUAGCGUUCAUC